GAGGAAUAUUGGUCAAUGGGCGAUAGCCUGAACCAGCCAUGUCGCGUACAGGAUGACGGCCCUAUGGGUUGUAAACUGCUUUUGUACGGGAAGAAACGCUUCGACGUGUCGAAGUUUGCCGGUACCGUACGAAUAAGCAUCGGCUAACUCCGUGCCAGCAGCCGCGGUAAUACGGAGGAUGCGAGCGUUAUCCGGAUUUAUUGGGUUUAAAGGGUGCGUAGGCGGAAUGUCAAGUCAGCGGUGAAAGUCUGCAGCUCAACUGUAGUUGUGCCGUUGAAACUGAUAUUCUUGAGUGUAGCUGAGGUAGGCGGAAUGAGUAGUGUAGCGGUGAAAUGCAUAGAUAUUACUCAGAACACCAAUUGCGAAAGCAGCUUACUAAACUACAACUGACGCUGAUGCACGAGAGCGUGGGUAUCAAACAGGAUUAGAUACCCUGGUAGUCCACGCAGUAAACGAUGAUUACUGGUUGUUUGUGCGUUAUAGGCAUAAGCGACUGCGCGAAAGCAUUAAGUAAUCCACCUGGGGAGUACGUCGGCAACGAUG
rnacentral:rRNA from 1 species